UAACACAUGCAAGUCGAACGGUGAAGCAGAGCUUGCUCUGUGGAUCAGUGGCGAACGGAUGAGUAACACGUGAGCAACCUGCCCUGGACUCUGGGAUUAGCGCUGGAAACGGCGUCUAAUACUGGGUACGAGGCACCACCGCAUGGUGAGUGUCUGGAAAGAUUAUUCGGUCUGGGAUGGGCUCGCGGGCUAUCAGCUUGUUGGUGAGGUAAUGGCUCACCAAGGCGUCGACGGGUAGCCGGCCUGAGAGGGUGACCGGCCACACUGGGACUGAGACACGGCCCUGACUCUACGGGAGGCAGCAGUGGGUAAUAUUGCACAAUGGGCGAAAGCCUGAUGCAGCAACGCCGCGUGAGGGAUGACGGCCUGCGGGUUGUAAACCUCUUUUGACAGGGAAAGAAGCUUGGGAGUGACGGUACCUGCAGAAUAAGCACCGGCUAACUACGUGCCAGCAGACGCGGUAAUACGUAGGGCGCAAGCGUUAUCCGGAACCUUAUUGGGCGUAAAGAGCGCGUAGGCGGUCUGUCGCGUCUGCUGUGAAAUCCCGAGGCUCAACCUCGGGCCUGCAGUGGGUACCGGCAGACUAGAGUGCGGUAGGGGAGAUUGGAAUUCCUGGU
rnacentral:rRNA from 1 species